AGGAAACUGGAAUCUCUGAAGAUGAAUGUCGCAAUAGUCUUAUUGAUUUGCCUCGCCCUCUAUAAGCCUCCAAAAAUAAGUUGGGAGGACCUUUUGAACAGAAUAGAAUAGAAAAUGUUUAACUAAAGUUUAUAAAGUUUAGGUCAAAAACUUGGUAAAAAAAUGUUAGCUUCUAAAUUCGGUGUAGAACUGUUCAACCUUUUUAUGUAGUAAAUAAAUUUGAUAAACAAUUUGUUGCCAAAAGUGAAAA